CGUGGGUAACCUGCCCAAGAGAUCGGGAUAACACCUGGAAACAGAUGCUAAUACCGGAUAACAACAGAUGAUGCCUAUCAACUGUUUAAAAGAUUGGUUCUGCUAUCACUCUUGGAUGGACCUGCGGUGCAUUAGCUAGUUGGUAGGGUAACGGCCUACCAAGGCGAUGAUGCAUAGCCGAGUUGAGAGACUUAUCGGCCACAUUGGGACUGAGGCACGGCCCAAACUCCUACGGGAGGCAGCAGUA
rnacentral:rRNA from 1 species